AUGCCUUAAACUGAUGAGUAAGGAAAAUAACAACAUGGGGUAAUUUCUGUGUGCUUGCUUACUUUGUAAGUUGAAUUUUUGAGAGGGUACAGGUCUCUGUACAAAGGAACUCACCUACUUUGUGAGAAGCUUUGUACAAGUAGGAUUUGCCCU
ensembl:snRNA U12 U12 minor spliceosomal RNA